UGUGUGUGUAGUGUGUGUGUGUAGUGUGUGUGUAGUGUGUGUGUGUAGUGUGUGUGUGUAGUGUGUGUGUGUAGUGUGUGUGUGUAGUGUGUGUGUGUAGUGUGUGUGUAGUGUGUGUGUAGUGUGUGUGUGUGUAGUGUGUGUGUAGUGUGUGUGUGUGUGUGUAGUGUGUGUGUAGUGUGUGUGUGUAGUGUGUGUGUGUGUGUGUGUGUGUGUGUGUGUGUGUGUGUGUGUAGUGUGUGUAGUGUGUGUGUGUGUGUGUGUGUGUAGUGUGUGUGUGUAGUUGUGUGUGUGUGUGUAGUGUGUGUGUGUGUAGUGUGUGUGUGUAGUGUGUGUGUGUAGUGUGUGUGUAGUGUGUGUGUGUGUGUAGUGUGUGUGUAGUGUGUGUGUGU
ensembl:lncRNA